ACCCACUGUGGCUGCCGGGGAAAAGAAGGGAUCACUUGAUAGUAGAUGUAGCUCUCUUGGCAGGUCCUUAAUUGAUUCUAGAUGGGGAGAGCAAUGAAGACCUCCAUUGGAGCUUCAAUCCUGCUCUUGGGGCUGCAGCUGGACUGGGUCAGCCUUGGAGAGAAGGUGGAGCAGAGUCCUACCGUGAGUGUCCAGGAGGGAAGCAGCUCUGUUAUUACCUGCUCUUAUACAGACAGUACCUCAGACUACUUCCCUUGGUAUAAGCAAGAACCUGGAAAAGGUCUCCAGUUCCUUACACACAUUCGAGCAAAUGUGGUCAAUAGGGAAGAAGAAAGAUUCACUGUCUCAUUGAAUAAGACAGCCAAGCAUUUCUCCCUGCACAUCGCAGUCAGCCAGCCUGAAGACUCAGCUGUCUACUUCUGUGCAGCAAGUGCACAUUGCUUCUGAGGCACUUGCCCUCUGUACUCAAACCUGUGACUGAGGCAGCUCCCUUCCUUUGGCACAAACCUUUUGUUCUAUUGUUUGUGUGCAAGUAGAAACUAAUGUAUUAGACACAAAAAGCAUAGAAUAAGAGAAUUAGGUUCAUGAAAACCCAGACAGGGUUAGAACAUUUUGUUGGAUGACUGUUGCUUAAUGGAUUCUUGAAGGAGCUUGGUGAGGUUUAAUUUUGAAA